rnacentral:hammerhead_ribozyme from 1 species
GCACUGCGGAGGAGUCCCAUACCAGGACGAAACGGCCGUCCAGUGC